rnacentral:lncRNA from 1 species
GUAACAUUAAGUGACAAGAAAAGGCCGCGUGGUUUCCCGUGAACACUUCUCUUUUAAAGCCCCCACCUCUCUCCCUUUCUCCGAUUUCUUCUCAUUCCCGUUUCUCUCUCUCAUUUCCCUCCACCGCCGCCUCCGUCGUCUACCGGAGUUUUCCUGACUUUACUUAGCAUUCGCAAGUCACAACACUCCUCCAUAUCCGUUCCUUCCCACCAAGGUAACAUCAAUCCCUCCUCAUGAAUUUCGCCCAAUUUGUAUAACUCCGAUCCUGAAAUUGACUCCGGUGUUGACCUAAUUCCAGGCGGAGAUAGAAAGCAGAGUUCUUUCUGGUUUCCGAAUCUCUUUAAUGGCGUCGAUGGUAGGAACCGAUCCGGAAUUGGGUACUACAGACGCCUUGUCCUCUGAAGAGUUGCAGCGGAUGACAAAAAGGAGAAAACUUGGCCACGAUUACGAUUCCGCCACGACUAGCGGCGGCGGCGGA